rnacentral:rRNA from 1 species
UGGCGGACGGGUGAGUAACGCGUGGAAAACCUGCCGUAUACUGGGGGAUAACACUUAGAAAUAGGUGCUAAUACCGCAUAAGCGCACAGCUUCGCAUGAAGCGGUGUGAAAAACUCUGGUGGUAUACGAUGGUUCCGCGUCUGAUUAGCUAGUUGGUGGGGUAAUGGCCUACCAAGGCAACGAUCAGUAGCCGGCCUGAGAGGGUGAACGGCCACAUUGGACUGAGACACGGCCCAAACUCCUACGGGAGGCAGCAG